rfam:Beta vulgaris subsp. vulgaris chromosome 2, whole genome shotgun sequence.
AGAUCGUGGUGUGGGCAUUCGCUCUGUAGAACCUUUAACCUAUUCCAUGCUUCCUUCAAUGUCUCAUCAGGUUCUUGUUGGAAGUUAGCAAGUUUAUGUCUGAUUUC